rnacentral:rRNA from 1 species
AGCGAACGCUGGCGGCGUGCUUAACACAUGCAAGUCGAGGGAGAACGGAGGGCUUCGGCCUUCUUAGUAAACCGGCGCACGGGUGAGUAACACGUAGGUAACCUACCUCCGAGUUCGGGAUAACCUGUCGAAAGAUAGGCUAAUACCGGAUAAGACCACGAUGGCUUCGGCCAUUGCGGUCAAAGAUGGCCUCUAUUUAUAAGCUAUCGCUUGGGGAUGGGCCUGCGCACCAUUAGCUAGUUGGUGAGGUAAUGGCUCACCAAGGCUACGAUGGUUAGUGGGUCUGAGAGGAUGACCAGCCACACUGGGACUGAGACACGGCCCAGACUCCUACGGGAGGCAGCAGUGGGGAAUAUUGCGCAAUGGGGGAAACCCUGACGCAGCGACGCCGCGUGGGUGAUGAAGGCCUUCGGGUCGUAAAGCCCUGUCGGAGGGGAAGAAGGACUCUCGUGCAAAUAGUUCGAGGGUUUGACGGUACCCUUAGAGGAAGCACCGGCUAACUCCGUGCCAGCAGCCGCAGUAAAAC